rnacentral:rRNA from 1 species
GCAGUCGAGCGGUAAGGCCUUUCGGGGUACACGAGCGGCGAACGGGUGAGUAACACGUGGGUGAUCUGCCCUGCACUUCGGGAUAAGCCUGGGAAACUGGGUCUAAUACCGGAUAUGACCUCCUAUCGCAUGGUGGGUGGUGGAAAGAUUUAUCGGUGCAGGAUGGGCCCGCGGCCUAUCAGCUUGUUGGUGGGGUAAUGGCCUACCAAGGCGACGACGGGUAGCCGACCUGAGAGGGUGACCGGCCACACUGGGACUGAGACACGGCCCAGACUCCUACGGGAGGCAGCAGUGGGGAAUAUUGCACAAUGGGCGAAAGCCUGAUGCAGCGACGCCGCGUGAGGGACGACGGCCUUCGGGUUGUAAACCUCUUUCAGCAGGGACGAAGCGCAAGUGACGGUACCUGCAGAAGAAGCACCGGCUAACUACGUGCCAGCAGCCGCGGUAAUACGUAGGGUGCAAGCGUUGUCCGGAAUUACUGGGCGUAAAGAGUUCGUAGGCGGUUUGUCACGUCGUUUGUGAAAACUCACAGCUCAACUGUGAGCCUGCAGGCGAUACGGGCAGACUUGAGUACUGCAGGGGAGACUGGAAUUCCUGGUGUAGCGGUGAAAUGCGCAGAUAUCAGGAGGAACACCGGUGGCGAAGGCGGGUCUCUGGGCAGUAACUGACGCUGAGGAACGAAAGCGUGGGUAGCGAAC